AACCGAUUUGUAUGCAUAUAACUGACAUCGCUUUUUACUGUUGACAGAUGACAAAACUUUUGUUUGAAUUUUCAGAAAACCGCUGAGCGGCUAAGUUAAAAUUUGUAAAAGAAGCGCGGGGGAGGAAAAACUCAUUCCCACACUUAGACAUAUUUAGAGUAACAUUGACUUCAGCUUGCCCUAACACUAUUCGACCAAACCUCCCUUUUCUGCUUCGUUCUCCGCCUCCGACAAAAAUCAUCCUCCUCUUCGUUCUCCGCCUCAGACCACAACCCUCCUCCUCGUCUCCGUUCUCCGGCUACAAUCAGAACCCUACCCUCCUCCUUUUCCGCCUCGGACCAGCUCCUCUGCUCGACGAUGGAAUGCCGCAUCUCUUCUCUCUCUCUCUCUCUUUCCUUCUCUCUCCUGCAAAACUGGUGGCUCUGGUUAUCUGGACUUCCAAGCUUCCAGCUCUCCACCUCUGGUUAUCCAUAUUCGCUGGUGAGUCGGUGACAUUGCUGGUUCACAAUUUCAAUCGAAGGCUCGAACUCUUCCUCUUGCUGUGAAGCCGCAAAGCAGAAAUUUUGGGUUCGAAGCUUGGUGAUUCUUCAAGCUCGAUUUAUGGGUUUUGGAUUCAGUGAUUCUUCAACUCUUCACUCUUGUUAAGUUUCUGGGCGCAUUGUCAUUUGUAUGAUGGUAUCAAACUGUGAAUUGUUUCUGGGUUUAAUGUUUUCAAUCGAUCUGUUCUGGGUUUUCAGUUGAAGUAUCGAGCUCGUGGUCAACUGGUCUUGCUCUUGGAGUCUUGGUUCGAUUCAGAAAUCUUCAAGCUCAGGAUCCAAAGGAGGAGGCUAAAGCAGAGACAAGGGAUUGGAUAAACACUGUGGAUGAUUCUGCUGCACUUAGGAGUGCUGCUUCUACCUGGCACGCUGAACUGGCACCGCUCCUGAAGCCCUUGCUUGUAGUCAAUAUAGGAGGCCCUUCUGGUAAACUUUUGCACCUAAACCUCUGUUAUGAUUUCCAUUUUGUCCUCUUAUUAGGAUAUAAUUAUGUUCGAUUUCUUUGAUAUUUAUGGAAUUCAUUACGAAACAUCAAAAAGUAUCCUGACAUUGCUAACAAAACUUGCCAACACAUUUUUCCUUGUACUUUUAGAUUCAGUAUAUAUAGCUUGCUAGCUUAGCUAGAGAGAAACAUUAAGUCUUAGUUCCUAAGUUGACAACUUCACUACACACACAAACUGAUCAACUAUACACAGAAGAAGUGAUCAAGAAGUAGAAUGCAGUAGUAGUAAUGGCAGAUUGGGGACCGGUGGUGAUAGCGGUGGUGUUGUUUGUGCUGUUAAGUCCAGGGCUACUAUUUCAGCUGCUGGGGAAGAGCAGAGUGGUGGAGUUUGGCAACAUGCAAACCAGCGGACUAUAGUUGUAUUAUAUGCUCUUCAGAACCUGUGCCUCUGUUUGUAGUAACAAAUAUGUCCAAUUUUGUUUCCACUGCCACUUAUUUACUUCUUUCUUUUUAUUUAGAUGACUAUGGUAGUAAUCUAAUUUUGUAGGUAAAAUACAUCUCCCUUGAUGAAGCUGCAAGGUUAUUACUUGGGGAUGCACACAAUGCAUCCGUAAUAAGAACAGCUAAAGUAAGGCGGAUUUAUGAUAUUGCAAAUGUUUCGUCCUCCAUGAAUCUUAUUGAAAAGACCCAUGCAGCAGAUACAAGGAAGCCUGCAUAUAAAUGGUUUCACCAAGUUAUAAAGGAAUUACU